GCCCGGGUGGUGGAAUGGUAGACACUGGGGAUUUAAAAUCCCUUGCCUGAAAAGGCGUGCGGGUUCAAGUCCCGCCCCGGGCACCA
rnacentral:tRNA from 1 species